CAGGCCUAAUACAUGCAAGUCGAGGGGCAGCGGGAGUAGCAAUACUUGCCGGCGACCGGCGCACGGGUGCGUAACACGUAUACAAUCUGCCCUUAACUGGGGGAUAGCCCGGAGAAAUCCGGAUUAAUACCCCAUAACACAAGAAACGGCAUCGUUUUUUGUUGAAAGUUCCGACGGUUAAGGAUGAGUAUGCGUCUGAUUAGUUAGUUGGUGAGGUAACGGCUCACCAAGACCACGAUCAGUAGGGGAUCUGAGAGGAUUAACCCCCACACGGAUACUGAGACACGGAUCCGACUCCUACGGGAGGCAGCAGUAAGGAAUAUUGGACAAUGCCCGCAAGGGGUGAUCCAGCCAUGCCGCGUGCAGGAAGACGGCCCUAUGGGUUGUAAACUGCUUUUGUACAAGAGAAAACCCCCUUACGUGUAAGGGGCUGAUAGUAUUGUAAGAAUAAGCAUCGGCUAACUUCGUG
rnacentral:rRNA from 1 species